GAUGAACGCUGGCGGCGUGCCUAAUACAUGCAAGUCGAGCGAACAGACGCUGAGCUUGCUCCUCUGACGUUAGCCGCGGACGGGUGAGUAACACGUGGAUAACCUACCUAUAAGACUGGGAUAACUUCGGGAAACCGGCGCUAAUACCGGAUAAUAUAUUGAACCGCAUGGUUCAAUAGUGAAAGACGGUGUUGCUGUCACUUAUAGAUGGAUCCGCGCCGCAUUAGCUAGUUGGGAGGGUACCGGCUUACCACGGGAACGAUGGGUAGCCGACAUGAGAGGGGGGACGGGCACAUUGGGACUGAGAGACGGCGCAGACGCCUAUGGGAGGCAGUAGUGGGGAAUAUGACACAGUGGGCGGAAGCCUGAUACGGAAACGCCGCGUGCGGGAUGACGGCCUUCUGGUUGUAAACCGAUUUCUCCUGUGACAUAGCGUGAGUGACGGUACUGGGUCAAGAAGCACCGGCUAACUACGUG
rnacentral:rRNA from 1 species